rnacentral:lncRNA from 1 species
AAAUUUAAACAUGCUUUACAUUUUUCUUGUGCUUCGACCACACUCGUAAUUUCUUUUGAUAUUUGUAUACUACCAUAAAUUGUAUACUAUUAAAAAUGAUUAAUGGCAUAUCUUCACAAAAUAAUUCAUUAUACAUACCAGAUACAUUUGAAAAGUUAAUAAUUUUCUAAACUGGUUGAGUCGACUUCGUCUUGCAAACAUAUUUUAUUGUAGAAAUAUUAUUUUUGUCAUUUAAUUGUUAUGCUCACUGCUAAGAUUCUAAAAAACAUCAAUUGGCAAUCUUUGUCAUUUAAUUGUUAUGCUCACUGCCAAGUUUCUUUCUCAAUGGAUUUUAUAAAAUGUAAAAAUAUCAACAAAUUCCUGUGUGUUGUCCUCUUAAUAUGAAAUCCAACAGCUCAACAAUUUGAAUUAUGGUUACCUAUACUUUAUUUAGUUUAAGUAUUUACUAUUAAGAUUAUGUCAUUUAUAUUGGUAUAUAGAUAAUAUUGAAUUUUUGUGUUUAAGAUAUCUGUGAAUUGUAUUGUUAA